rnacentral:rRNA from 1 species
GAGCGGUCCCUUCGGGGAUAGCGGCGGACGGGUGAGUAACACGUAGGCAACCUGCCUGUAAGACUGGGAUAACUACCGGAAACGGUAGCUAAGACCGGAUAAGUAAGCUUAGCGCAUGCUGAGCUUAAGAAACACGGAGCAAUCUGUGGCUUACAGAUGGGCCUGCGGCGCAUUAGCUAGUAGGUGAGGUAACGGCUCACCUAGGCGACGAUGCGUAGCCGACCUGAGAGGGUGAUCGGCCACACUGGGACUGAGACACGGCCCAUACUCCUACGGGAGGCAGCAGUAGGGAAUCUUCCGCAAUGGACGAAAGUCUGACGGAGCAACGCCGCGUGAGCGAUGAAGGUCUUCGGAUCGUAAAGCUCUGUUGUCAGAGAAGAACACGUGAUAGAGGAAAUGCUAUCAUCUUGACGGUAUCUGACAGAAAGCCCCGGCUAACUACGUGCCAGCAGCCGCGGUAAU